rnacentral:rRNA from 1 species
AUUGAACGCUGGCGGCAUGCUUUACACAUGCAAGUCGAACGGCAGCACGGGUGCUUGCACCUGGUGGCGAGUGGCGAACGGGUGAGUAAUGCAUCGGAACGUGCCCAUGAGUGGGGGAUAGCCCGGCGAAAGCCGGAUUAAUACCGCAUACGCCCUUAGGGGGAAAGCGGGGGAGUCUUCGGACCUCGCGCUAUUGGAGCGGCCGAUGUCGGAUUAGCUAGUAGGUGAGGUAAAGGCUCACCUAGGCGACGAUCCGUAGCUGGUCUGAGAGGAUGAUCAGCCACACUGGGACUGAGACACGGCCCAGACUCCUACGGGAGGCAGCAGUGGGGAAUUUUGGACAAUGGGCGCAAGCCUGAUCCAGCCAUGCCGCGUGCGGGAAGAAGGCCUCGGUGUAACCGCUUUGUCAGAGAAGAAUACUUCUGGGCUAA